GAGUUUGAUUCUGGCUCAGAUUGAACGCUGGCGGCGUGCUUAACACAUGCAAGUCGAACGUGAAAGGGGCUUCGGCCCCGAGUAAAGUGGCGCACGGGUGAGUAACGCGUGGACAAUCUGCCCUUAUGAGUGGGAUAACAGUUGGAAACGGCUGCUAAUACCGCAUACGCUCAGGAAUGACUUUUUGAGGAAAGGCGGCCUCUGCUUGCAAGCUGUCGCAUAAGGAUGAGUCCGCGUCCCAUUAGCUUGUUGGUGGGGUAACGGCCUACCAAGGCAACGAUGGGUAGCCGAUUUGAGAGGAUGAUCGGCCACACUGGAACUGAAACACGGUCCAGACUCCUACGGGAGGCAGCAGUGGGGAAUAUUGCGCAAUGGGCGAAAGCCUGACGCAGCGACGCCGCGUGAGGGAUGAAGGUUUUCGGAUCGUAAACCUCUGUCGGAAGGGAAGAAGGUGCACUCUGCCAAUCAGGGGUGUAUUGACG
rnacentral:rRNA from 1 species